CUGUCGGGGGGCUCGCUGGCGCCUCCGAGCACCUAUGGGGCACUUGGGGGCCCCUUCUGGUUCGGCAGGGGAGCGAGGGCCGCGCGCAGAGCAGAUCGAGGUCCGGCGCACGCGUGGGGAGACGGGCAAUCUUUACCCAGCUUUGGGGCUCUCCGGAGAGAUAACACCCCUACUGCUGCUCUGUGUUGUUAUUCGAUCUAGCUCGAGCGUGCGAGUGAAAAGGGGAGCUGUGGGUGUCGAAUGGACCGAACCCCCUCUACGUGCGCAUGGGCCUCCCUUUUAUAGUCUGAAGGGGGUACCCACAGGUGGCAGCGUAGGAAGAGGGGGUAGAAACGUAAAAGCGCAGGUUGGUACAACAGUGCACAACAGUGCCCCUACCUAACUCUGACGGCAGGGGACAAGGGCAUUAAAUGCCCGUCCGGUCGCCCAACAGUGCAGGUGGAGUGACCGUUAAGUGAGCCUCCGGGUGCCACGAUGGCGCCUCUGUCAGCUCCGUUUGCCACCUCGCUCUGCAUGGUUGCGUAGUAUCUCGCCACGUGCUCUUGGGAUGGCCUGGUGAUGACGCGUCACAGGGUGCGCUGGAGUUGGGUGGCAGCCUUGCCGCAGCAAGUGCCUUGCCGCGGUCCCUUUGUUGUGCCGGCAAGCUUGCCGGCCAUUGGACCUUGCCGGGGCGCGCGGGGCGCCGCGGCAAGUUUUCUGGUGAUGCCAUGGUUAGCCCUCCCGGGAAGUUCCUCUUGCCGGGGCCUUCGUGUUCUUGGCUGGUACUUUGUUCUUGAAUGGCAGUGAUAAGGAGUGGUGGGGAGCCUUGCCGGACGUCAGGCGAGCCUUGCCGCGGGGUGCUGCGACUGCCCGUGCACAAGUUCGGGGUACUAAGGUGCCCCCCUACUUUAGUACACCGACAGGAGCCCCCGGGCCUGGGCCAUACACGGUGCCGAGCGUUGUUGGGCCAGGCCCAAGACAGUGCACGGGCACACGUGGCCUGGGUCCGCACAGCAACGGGCUCCGCACCCACCGCGCUUUCCCGCAACGGCACGCGUCGAUUGCGGCGUCGUGGGAGACGUGGGUGGCGGAUGCGCCCUUUAAGGCAUCCACACCCGUGAUCGUGGUGCAGGGCGAGGUCUUUUCACCCGUCGCCCCGGCCCUGCUUUUUCGCCACGCGGCCCUCAUGCAUGGGGGUCGUGGGCGGCGAAGGUGGGAGGCCGAGCCGUCACGGGCGAAGAUGGUGGGUCGGCCCCGCUCCUCUAUCCCUCUCGCUUUCCGAUUGACUGGGCGGGGCGGCUGAGCCCCCACCUCGUCCUUUAAAAGGGGCGGAAGGGGAGCACAAUAGUCUCGCACCUCCUCUCUUCCCUUCGUCUUCAAGUUCCGUUACUCUUCCUCCCAUCUGCUAUGGAGGGAGGGAAUCCUAGUCCUUCUACGGUGGCAGCAAGGGUCGCCUCCAGGCAGCGCGCCUCUCCCUAUCCUGCAGCCGUGGCGGCGGAGCCGACCACGAGGGGGAGAGGUAGGGGGUGGGGCCGCGGACGGGGCCGAGGACGUGGUCGAGGCGGUCGGGGGAGAGGCGGCCGGGGCGAUGCGCCUCCCCCGUCUCCGCCGGCGGCUCCUUUCCUCGAGGCGGUCCAUACUAGAGACGAUCCCUGGGAGUUCUUCAUCAAGCUGCGCCGAGUGCCUCGUCGUCGCCUCCGGCUGCCGGCCCCGUUCGCGAGUGCGAUGGAACCGGAUCCGCCCGAGGUGAUGGAGUUGCGCAUGAGGGGCUGCGGGAUCAGCGGCACUCGAGUGAGUGUCGUGUCCCCAGCCCCCGGUGUGAUGUACUUCGACCGAGGGUGGAAGACGUUCGCCCGCAUCCACAGCUUGACGGCGGGGUUUACCCUCCAUUUCAAGCUAAUGGAGGGCGACCUUCUCGCCGUCAAGGUCUUCGGGGACUCCGGGACCCGGGCGAGAUGCUGUGUGGACAGCUCCUCCGAUAGCGAAGGUCUCUCCUCGAGCGAGAGUGACGAGGAGGGGAGCGACAGCGACGACGACGAGGAUGGCGGGUCCGACUAGGCGUCGGACGCUGCCUCGCGCGCCACCGGCGACCCCAUCAGCCGGGUCGCCGGCCUUCUGAACUCCCCGGGGCCGUCUCCUUGGGCGGCUGGCGUAGGGAGGCUGCGGAAGAGGAAGAGGGGUGGCGGCAAGGCCGUCAAAUUGGAGUACGAGGGCGAGGAGCCCUCGUCAGCGUGCUGACGUCCCACCACCCCGUCUUCAAGCUCUGCCUCCGGCGUCUCCGUCUCCGCCAAGCUCCUGGCCGGCCCCCUGGAAGUUCUCUUGGUGUCUUCUGGUGCCCGUAGCUCUCCUAGGCGCCCCCUUUGCCCUUCCCGGCGAGCUUCUCUCGCCAGGGCCUCCUUGAUCUACCUCCUGAACAGAGAAAGAGGAGAGGGAUUAUGGGCAUCUCAUCUUUCAAUUUGUAAGCCCUUGGGCCUUAGUUGUAUUUAAAAUCUGUAAUCCUCUCUAUCAUGUUUUUCAUCCUCCAUGGACUUGUACUAAACUAGGAUGUUUUUAAUGAAAAGAGGGGAACGCUUGUCGGACUAGGCCCUUUACUUGAUUUGGUGUCUUGUACGUUCCCACCCUACGCUUCUAGGGGACUUGCCGGAGCGAGCACACUUGCUGAGUGCGGGACAUCAGCAGCCCGCUGGCGGUGUCGCUUCGGCAAGCAACCUUGCCGGGCCAGUUGCACCGCACUUGUGUUUGUUGAGCGGACUCGGAAACAAAUCAAGGGCGCAACUGGGCCACGGCUCGGUUCCUCCGCGCAUGGGUUUUACAAGACACGCUCGUUCAAGGACGCGGUCCCGCCUUCCCCAGCCCAUAGGAGGAUGCAUGACGAGGGAUGAAAAACUUAUCUGACUCCACAGCCUUCCGGCGCUAUUAUCCAGGCCGGGAUGGAAUCUUGGCAUUCACAGCCCCCGGCAACUCUGGCUCCGCCAAAAUCUAGGUGCUGGUGUGCUCUCUUUUACCCUUGUUGCCGACGCCGUGGCCGCCGAGGGCUCUGGCCCGUCGCGAAGGGUCUCGGGAACUUGUAGCCCCCAGCGAGGUUGGCUUGCCGGGGCCGGUGCGCUCUUCUGGUUUCUCCUUGUCGCUGUAAUUACAGCCAUGAAAACAGCUGAGAUAGUACUGCAACAAUUUCAUUAUCUAUAUAUAUAAUUUUUUUUUGUGCGACUUCGCAAAACGAUGUCGUGCCUUGCCCUUCGUAUGUUUAUACUCUACGCUGCUAGGGAACUUGCCGGUGCUAACACACUUGCUGAGUACGGUACAUCAGCAGCCUGCUGGCGGUGUUGUCUCCGGCAAGAAACCUUCUCGGGCCAGUUGCAGUGCACUCGAGUUGUUGAGCGGACUCGGAAACAAAUCAAGGACGCAACUCAGCCGUGAGUUGGUUCCUCCGCGCACAAGUUUCUCAUAUGAAGGGCGCCUUACGGCAAGGCUUGCUAUGUUACGCCCUCUGCUUGUUAUAUCCUUUGUGCGUUUUUACCCUAUGCUUCUAGGGAACUUGCCGGUGCUAACACACUUACUGAGUACGAGACAUCAGCAGCCCGCUGGCGGUGUUGUUUCUGGCAAGAAACCUUCUCGGGCCAGUUGCAGUGCACUUGCGUUGUUGAGCGGACUCGGAAACAAAGCAAGGACGCGACUUAACCACGAGUUGGCUCCUUCUGCGUGUAGGCAUUGCGUACAAAGGACGAACGCGCAAGGGGCAUAACAUGAAAGGAACAUGGAACUAAUGGGUAUGAUGUACAAAAAACUCGGAUGACUUAGCUUUUUUUUAACAUCCCGCUGAGGUCGUACUUCUUCCCCGAUCCUUUCCCCUUGUAUGUUCUUGUCCCUAAGCUGUUGGGGAAUCCACCGGCGCAAACAUGCUUGCUGAGCGCAGGGCAUCAGCGGCUCGCUGGCGGUGCUGCCUCCGGCAGGAAGAACUUGUCGGGCUGGUUGCGGUGUGCUUUUAUCAUCGAGCGGACUCAAGAUGAAUCGACGGNNNNNNNNNNNNNNNNNNNNNNNNNNNNNNNNNNNNNNNNNNNNNNNNNNNNNNNNNNNNNNNNNNNNNNNNNNNNNNNNNNNNNNNNNNNNNNNNNNNNNNNNNNNNNNNNNNNNNNNNNNNNNNNNNNNNNNNNNNNNNNNNNNNNNNNNNNNNNNNNNNNNNNNNNNNNNNNNNNNNNNNNNAGGUUCUUCAUACAAGGUAUGGAUUUUCAGGGAGUAUGACCCAAAAGUUCGAAGCUUGGCAUCCUUCUCUGCCCUACUGGUCGGUGGACUGGUUGGCGGAGCUCGAUGGUGCGUCCUCGACGACAGCGUGGCGCUCCGGGGAGAUGCGCCUGCCGGAGUGUGCACCAGAGCCGGAGCCAUCCUUGCCGGGCUUAGUCUUUGGCUGGUCUGUCUUCGCCUUCUCGUACUUGCUGGUGGAGCUCGAUGGUGCGUCCUCGAUGGUAGCGCAGCGCUCCGGGGAGAUGCGCUUGCCGAGGUGUGCUCCAGAGCUAUCCUUUCCGGACUUGGUCUUCUUCUUCCCCCGGGGAGCUUCAGCGGCAAGUGGCUCGCGCUCUGCCGCAGCAGCUGCUUCCCGGUAGAUCUCGUCGGCGCAGAUGAGUGCAUCCUUCUUGUCACCUUGGAUAGAGAUGACGCUCAUCGGGCCAGGCAUUUUGAGCACAUUGUAUGCGUGGUGAGAGGCCUCCAUGAACUUGGCGAGUGCGGGUCGACCGAGUAUCCCAUUGUAGGGCAAAGGAAUAUCAGCCACAUCGAAUGUGACCCUCUCAGUCCUGAAGUUCAGCUCGCUGCCGAACAUCACCGGUAAUGUGAUCUUCCCCUUGGGCUGGCUCCUUCCUGGGUUUAUUCCUUGAAAGGUGCCAGUCUCUUCUAGCUCGCUGUCGGGGAUCUGGAGAUUUUUGAGCACUGCGGAGGAAAUCAAGUUCAGGCCGGCCCCGCCGUCAACCAACAUCUUCGUGACCUUGAGGUUGCGGAUCGUUGGUGAGACCAACAGCGGCAAGCACCCGACCGCAGUGAUGCGAUCAGGGUGAUCCUCAACGUCGAAGAUGAUGGGCGUGCUGGACCACUUCAGAGGCCUGCGCGCCUCGACGGACGGCUCCGCUGCGUUCACUUCUUGCACCCACUGUUUGAGUCGGCGGUGCAAGGUGUGUAGGGAGGCGCCGCCGUCGACGCACAAUACUUCUGUUGCCUUCUAAAACUCUUGAUCCUCAGCCUCAUCCUCCUCCAUCUCAUCAUCUUCGUCUUCAUCCUCGUCUUUGUCGCAGCCGUGGGGAGGCCUGUCUCCUUGCCGCGGCUUGGCCUUGCCGUGGUUCCCUCCCUGGGCGGGAAGCUUCUUGCCGGAUCCUCCGCCACCUCCCUGGGCUCUCUCCUUAUCGCGGCGCUCGUACUCAGCUUUCUGCAGCUCCGCCAUCUGCUCUACUUUUUUGCAGGUUUGGAGGUCAUGGCCUUUGGUGCGGUGGAUCUUGCAAUAACACUUGCUGGAGCCGUCCUGCUUGUCGGCGGCCGCUACAGCCUCGCCGGAGUCGUCGGUCUUGGCUUUGUCGGAGCCGCCUCCAUUGCCGGAAUGCUCAACAGCUAGCACAUCCUUAGCUUUCCUCUUCCUAUUGUUCCGCCUCCGGUUCCUUCUUGCCGGGGCAGCGUCCUCGCUGUCAGAUCCUUCUACUUCGGCAACCUCUCCGGGGAUUUUCCUCCCCUCUUCAGCCCGUGCACACUUGUCGGCGAGAGCGUAGAGCUCGCUGACAUCUCUGAUCUUUAUCAUCGCCAUCUCCUCCCUCAUCCUGCGGUUACGCACGUUCUGAUGAAACGCGCUGAUAACCGCGGCAGGGUGGAUGUCCGGAAUGUUGCGCUGCACCUGGCUGAAUCUUUGUAUAUACUUGCGCAGGGGCUCCCCCUCCUUCUGGACGAGCAAAUGGAGGUCACUUUCCUGGCCAUGAGGCUUGUGGCCGCCCGUGAAGGCGCCGACAAAUUGAUGACACAGGUCCGCCCAUGAAGAGAUGGAGCCGUCCGGCAAGUGCAUGAGCCAAGAUCUGACGUUGGGCUUGAGUACCAGCGGGAAGUAGUUGGCGAGGAUCUUCUCGUCGUGCCCUCUGGCAGUGCUGAGGAACUCCGACGGGUGUAUCCUGCCAUCAUACUUCUCGGGAACAUCUGGUUUGAAGUUUUUAGUUUUGGGCCACUGGACUUGCCGCAGCUCGCGGGUGAACGCAGGGCAACCUGCCGCAUAUGGCAAGUCGCCUGGUUCUCCGGAUGCGUGCGCGUCGACAGCGGGCCCGGCGCGCUGGUCAGAUUGACGUCGCGCUUCUCUCCGGCGCUCGAUGCGAGUGCGAGCGUCUUCGUGUUGCCGUUCUUGGAGAACGUGGCGCUGAUCCCGGCGAGUUCGCGGGUCCGAUGACGCGGUGGAGUCGGCGUCAAGGUUGGUCCGGCGAGCUGGCGAUCUUGGCCUGUGGGGCUGGGAGCGCACGGAAGCGGUACCCCCAGCGGUCCUGUCGGCGCCGUCCUGCGCCGGGGCGUCUUGUCGGGCCCUCGACGCGUUCGGUCGCCGGGGCUUGUCGCCAUUGGCGAAGCUGACGAGGCUGUGUAUGGCCAUCCUCCAGUCGUCGAUCUUGUGUGGCGCUGGAGGGAAGUCUAGAAGCAGCUGGGCUCGGGCCAGCGCUUCCUCUGCAGUCUUGGGCAGCGGUGGUGACGGGCGGCGCGAGGAGCGAGAUGUGAUCGGACUCCCAACCGGGUUGGGAGGAGCAACACCCCGUCCAGGCGACCGUACUUCACUUGCACCAGCAUGCGGUCGUGCAUGCUAACCGCGAGCGUCCCGCAACCCACCGGCUUGGCCUUGCUCCAACGCAAGCACGGUGCUUGGAGCACCGGGGCGUUGUUGACCUUGAACCUCUUGGGAAGGGCGCGGCGUCUGCACUGUCGCUGACGCUUGCGGGGCCUUGUUCCUGGAUCUGGUGACGACACGAGACCCACCGGCGGCACCCGCUGCCCCGCCGGCGUCCACCUCACCGCCUGCUUGCUCCGGCGGUGGUGGUGGAACUGAUGUAGACGGAGCGGCCACCUCCGAAGGCUUCUUCUUCGGUGGCAUGUUGACGAUGACGCUGAUGUAGUGCGCGUGGAGACCGGAUCAGAUGCUCACGACCUCGACGCCCCCUACCUGGCACGCCAAAGAUGUCGGGGGGCUCGCUGCCGCCUCCGAGCACCUAUGGGGCACUUGGGGGCCCCUUCUGGUUCGGCAGGGGAGUGAGGGCCGCCCGCAGAGCAGAUCGAGGUCCGGCGCACGCGCGGGGAGACGGGAAAUCUUUACCCAGCUUCGGGGCUCUCUGGAGAGAUAACACCCCUACUGCUGCUCUGUGUUGUUAUUCGAUCUAGCUCGAGCGUGCGAACGAAAAGGGGAGCUGUGGGUGUCGAAUGGACCGAACCCCCUCUACGUGCGCAUGGGCCUCCCUUUUAUAGUCUGAAGGGGGUACCCACAGGUGGCAGCGUAGGAAGAGGGGGUAGAAACGUAAAAGCGCAGGUUGGUACAACAGUGCACAACAGUGCCCCUACCUAACUCUGACGGCAGGGGACAAGGGCAUUAAAUGCCCGUCCGGUCGCCC
rnacentral:lncRNA from 1 species